rnacentral:tmRNA from 1 species
GGGGGCGUACUGGCUUCGACGGGUUAUUAAUCGCUAGAGGUGCAUGUCGAGCUUUUCAUGGAGUGCUCGUAAAACAAACUGUGAAAACAAUAACUGUAAGCACUUAUGUGUCUUAUGUUGCAAACAUGUUCGUUAACCUACUUUCAUUCAUAGCGCCUGCGGCGUUCGUGGUGGCUGUAGCUUAAACGCUGUUUCGACAGUUGAUUAGAAAAACGCUAUCUAUUCGUUGAUCUUUUCUCCUAUUAUAAAUAUAUAGAUUUUGCGUGGUAGGUUACUUUGUUUUGUAGCGCGCAAAUAUCACAAAACGAAUUCAUUUACAAUUCUGUGUCUUCAAAGUCGUAAAUGAAUACAUUUGAAGAAUAAGCAUGUAGGACCUGUAGGGAAAGGUAGUUCGGACAUGGGUUCGAUUCCCAUCGCCUCCACCA